GGCGUUGGUUUUGUUGAAUUUGGACAAACAGGUAAAAAGAUGUGGUCGUUUGAAACAGAGGGACUAAUCUGUAAGAAAGAUAAUUACAACUAGGUCCCUGGCUGAAAUUAAAACAGAAAGAUAAUUACAACUAGGUCCCUGGCUGAAAUUAAAACAGAAAAAGAAAACCUAUCUAACGAACGUUCGCUGCCGAACGCUAACUAAUGAAUAUGCUCACUAGAACUACCUAAACAGAAAAUGUUCUCUAAAUAACUAAAAAAAC
rnacentral:lncRNA from 1 species